rnacentral:rRNA from 1 species
ACUCAAAUGAAUUGACGGGGGCCCGCACAAGCGGCGGAGCAUGCGGAUUAAUUCGAUGCAACGCGAAGAACCUUACCAAGGCUUGACAUAUACGAGAACGCCGCAGAGAUGCGGAACUCUUUGGACACUCGUAUACAGGUGGUGCAUGGUUGUCGUCAGCUCGUGUCGUGAGAUGUUGGGUUAAGUCCCGCAACGAGCGCAACCCUCGUCGUAUGUUGCCAGCACGUGAUGGUGGGAACUCAUAUGAGACUGCCGGGGUCAACUCGGAGGAAGGUGGGGAUGACGUCAAAUCAUCAUGCCCCUUAUGUCUUGGGCUUCACGCAUGCUACAAUGGCCGGUACAAAGGGCUGCGAUGUCGUAAGGCGGAGCGAAUCCCAAAAAGCCGGUCUCAGUUCGGAUUGAGGUCUGCAACUCGACCUCAUGAAGUCGGAGUCGCUAGUAAUCGCAGAUCAGCAACGCUGCGGUGAAUACGUUCCCGGGCCUUGUACACACCGCCCGU